UGACUUCACCUUCGCCUUCCUCUCUUCCCCAAAAUUCCGUGCUUUGCCAAGCUUCCUCUCUACCUUUACCUUUUGCCGAACAGAAUGUUGCCGCCACUAUUUACCGCCUCCUCUCCUUUGACCAGUACUGGCUUAUUGUCGAGUCCAAGCGGACGCUCAUUAAUACCGUCGUGAAUCUCUUCUAUGAACCCCUCUUUGUCAAAAUCCUCUACCCUCUCUGCCGAAUCCCUCCGCCGAUUCCCUCUACACUGAACAUCUCCGCCUAACCCAUCUUCGCCGACUCCCUCUCCGCUAAACAUCUCCACCCAACUCCUCUUCGCUGAACCCCUUUCCGACUUUGCUAAACCUCUCCACCAAAUCCCUCUUCACUGAACAUCACCGCUGAAGCAUCUUGUCUCCUUCUUCCUCGAGAUCGCCAAUGGCCAAACCGUUGAUGUCGUUGCACAAUUUCUUGAGGCUAUAGGUUGUUAGCUUGAUGAGGUUGUACAUCUCUUCUAUGUCAACAAUGAAAGUGGUGGGGUGGAGUCAUCUUUCAUACCUUGAUGGAUUAAUGGAAUUACUAGUAGUUCAAUGUCAAGUGCCCUUGAAGAUGAAGUGAGAACACCUUUUCCUAUCAUAAGAGAUACCCUUUAUGAAGAUCCUGCUUUUUUCAGGCAAAGGUUGAGGCAUCUCUUCGUGGCAAGUGGUUGCUAGUCAGUCUAAGAAUUUAGCUCGCAUAGGUGGACUUGAAUUAUUGUUCUUUGAUUUCACCAUUACAAAAUGGUGAUUUUUGAAGUAUUUCAUGUUAAAUCUCAACCAUGAUAAUGAUACAAGGGCAAACAAAGCUGUCGUAAAACUAUUUCAUUCUAAUUUCAGUUUCUAGCAUGUUAGUUGAUUAUCUGGUAUUGUAUAUUUGUUAACUUAUAAUUCAUUGAUUUUUCUCACAUUUAUUUAAGAUGUUGAGCACCUUUUGUGCUUAUUUGCAUAUGGUUGUAUAAUUUAUUUCUUUAUAUUUGACAUUGUUAUUACAAUUUUAGGUAUACAGUGAUACUAUUG